GUUAAUAUAGUUUAUAAAAACAUUGAAUUGUGAUUUCAAAAAUAUUUAAUAAUUAUUAACA
rnacentral:tRNA from 1 species